rnacentral:rRNA from 1 species
AUCAUCUUUAGUGGCAAACGGGUGAGUAACGCGUGGGAAUCUGCCCUUUGGUGGGGGACAACUGAGGGAAACCUCAGCUAAUACCGCAUAUUAUUGGUAACAAUGAAAGAUUUAUUGCCAAAGGAUGAGCCUGCGUCAGAUAGGUAGUUGGUAGGGUAAUGGCCUACCAAGCCGAUGAUCUGUAGCUGAUUUGAGAGAAUGAUCAGCCACACUGGGAUUGAGAUACGGCCCAGACUCCUACGGGAGGCAGCAGUAAGGAAUAUUGGACAAUGGGGGAAACCCUGAUCCAGCAAUGCCGCGUGAAUGAAGAAGGCCUUCGGGUUGUAAAGUUCUUUCGCUUACGAUGAUAAUGACAGUAGUAAGAUAAGAAGGUCCGGCUAACUCUGUGCCAGCAGCCGCGGUGAGACAGAGGGACCUAGCGUUGUUCGGAAUGACUGGGCGUAAAGGGUGCGUAGGUGGUUAUGUAAGUAAAGUGUUAAAUCCUUGGGCUCAACCCAAGACCUGCAUUUUAUACUGCGUGACUGGAGUAUGGGAGAGGAGAUUGGAAUUCCUAGUGUAGAGGUGAAAUUCGUAGAUAUUAGGAGGAACACCAGAGGCGAAGGCGAAUCUCUGGCCCAUUACUGACACUGAGGCACGAAAGCGUGGGGAGCAAACAGGAUUAGAUACCCUGGUAGUCCACGCCCUAAACGAUGAGUGCUAG